rnacentral:rRNA from 1 species
AUUGAACGCUGGCGGCAUGCCUUACACAUGCAAGUCGAACGGCAGCGGACCUUCGGGUGCCGGCGAGUGGCGAACGGGUGAGUAAUAUACCGGAACGUACCAUUGAGUGGGGGAUAACGUAGCGAAAGUUACGCUAAUACCGCAUAUUCUCUCCGGAGGAAAGCAGGGGACCGCAAGGCCUUGCGCUCUUUGAGCGGCCGAUAUCAGAUUAGCUAGUUGGUGAGGUAAAGGCUCACCGAGGCGACGAUCUGUAGCGGGUCUGAGAGGAUGAUCCGCCACACUAGAACUGAGACACGGUCCAGACUCCUACGGGAGGCAGCAGUGGGGAAUUUUGGACAAUGGGGGCAACCCUGAUCCAGCCAUGCCGCGUGAGUGAAGAAGGCCUUCGGGUUGUAAAGCUCUUUCGGGUGAGAAGAAAUCGUACAGGCUAAUAUCCUGUGCGGAUGACGGUAUCACCAUAAGAAGCACCGGCUAACUACGUGCCAGCCGCCGCUGUAA